rnacentral:rRNA from 1 species
UGGUAAUGCCGGAUGCUCCAUCACAUCGCAUGGUGUGUUGGGAAAGCCUUUGCGGCAUGGGAUGGGGUCGCGUCCUAUCAGCUUGAUGGCGGGGUAACGGCCCACCAUGGCUUCGACGGGUAGCCGGCCUGAGAGGGCGACCGGCCACAUUGGGACUGAGAUACGGCCCAGACUCCUACGGGAGGCAGCAGUGGGGAAUAUUGCACAAUGGGCGCAAGCCUGAUGCAGCGACGCCGCGUGAGGGAUGGAGGCCUUCGGGUUGUAAACCUCUUUUGUUAGGGAGCAAGGCAUUUUGUGUUGAGUGUACCUUUCGAAUAAGCACCGGCUAACUACGUGCCAGCAGCCGCGGUAAUACGUAGGGUGCAAGCGUUAUCCGGAAUUAUUGGGCGUAAAGGGCUCGUAGGCGGUUCGUCGCGUCCGGUGUGAAAGUCCAUCGCUUAACGGUGGAUCCGCGCCGGGUACGGGCGGGCUUGAGUGCGGUAGGGGAGACUGGAAUUCCCGGUGUAACGGUGGAAUGUGUAGAUAUCGGAAAGAACACC